UGUAUCCUUUGUCUGAUCGAGACUAGGUUGUCUGCGCCGCAGUCCUUCUUCGGCAUCACUGCUUGGAGCAGCAGGCGCCACCAGCCUACCAUCUUAUGCCGUUAAACCCCAGAACUCAUGCUCUUUUCUCUGCAGGUGCAGAAGCUCAAAUGGCGAUUUGCUUCCAAUCCCCCUCAAAACCCACUUGCAUUUCUCCCUCAUCAAACCAUUACAGACCCAAUCUUCAUGCUCGGUCCUUCAGAUGCAACUUCUCUAAAACACUAACUGCUGAUCCUCAACCAGUUUUCACCUCUGUGAAGUCCUUCGCACCCGCAACCGUUGCUAACCUCGGUCCCGGUUUCGAUUUCCUCGGUGCUGCUGUUGAUGGUAUCGGCGAUUUCGUCUCCCUUCGCGUGGAUCCUGAUGUUCGGCCCGGGGAGAUUUCGAUUGUCGAUAUCGAUGGUGUUGGGAAUAGCGCCACGAAGCUCAGUAAAAAUCCCCUCUGGAACUGCGCCGGCAUUGCCGCUAUCUCCGUCAUGAAAAUGCUCGGAGUCCGAUCGGUGGGGCUGUCCCUUUCCCUCGAGAAGGGGUUGCCAUUGGGAAGUGGACUUGGGUCGAGCGCCGCCAGUGCCGCCGCGGCUGCUGUGGCGGUGAAUGAGAUUUUUGGGCGGAAAUUGGGAGUUGAUGACCUUGUCCUUGCUGGGCUUGACUCGGAAGCUAAAGUUUCGGGUUAUCACGCGGACAAUGUGGCGCCGGCUCUUAUGGGAGGAUUCGUGUUGAUUCGGAGUUAUGAUCCUUUGGAGUUGAUUCCUUUGACGUUUCCGAGCGACAAGGAGUUGUUUUUUGUGUUGGUGAAUCCGGAAUUUGAAGCUCCCACCAAGAAAAUGCGGGCGGCAUUGCCGUCGGAGAUCGGGAUGUCUGAUCACGUGUGGAAUUGUAGCCAGGCCGCUGCAUUGGUAGCCUCGAUUUUGCAAGGAGAUUUGAGGGGGUUGGGCAAGGCAUUGUCCUCCGACAGAAUUGUGGAGCCAAGGAGGGCACCCUUGAUCCCUGGGAUGGAAGGGGUGAAAAAGGCUGCUCUUGAGGCUGGUGCAUUUGGCUGUACAAUUAGUGGAGCAGGGCCGACUGCAGUUGCAAUUACAGAUGACGAAGAGAAGGGAAGGGAUAUUGGAGAACGGAUGGUAGAAGCUUUCUUGGAGGACGGGAAGUUGAAGGCUGUAGCAAUGGUGAAGCAACUCGAUAGGGUUGGUGCUAGGCUUAUGAGUAGCAACCUCAGAUGAAAAAAAAUUAGGGUUUUCACAACAAGCUCCUUGAGACAGUUCCUUGGCAGUAUGUUCAGCAUGUCAGAGCAUCAAACCCAAAAUGAAGAGGGGAUGAAGAUAUAUACAUUUGAUGCCACUGGUGGUGAUUCUGAUGACAACUUUCAUAAUUCAAUGAUCUUGCAUCAUACUGCAAGCUUAGAUAAGAACUUGGUCCACCUCCUUCCCAUGGCAGCAUUUGAAGCAUGGGCCAUGACAGUCUUAUGCAAGGGAAUGGUGGAAAGCAAGUCACUAGUAGUAGUGGUGGCAGUUGGAAGCUGGCAUGGAAAUUGCAGGGAGGUGUUGAAAGAAUUUAUUAGCCGCAAGUAGGUGUUUCUAGAUCUUGGUGUACAUCUUUAGUUUCUGCUCCUAGUGGUGAGGUCCCUGCAGCCCUGCUCUUUACUCCAGGGAACUUAUUCAUCAGCAUCCAGUUGGGCCGACUUUGGUUCAUUCAUCUGAAAGUUCUGAAAAGUGCCAACUUGGAGUUAUCUUUUUGAACCAGGUAUCAAUCAUGAAGUGGUUGUUGGGCUGGGGAUUCAGAUACUUAAACAGUUCUCUGUCAUAAAUAGGGUUCUCUAGGUGGGUGUUGGAGUACUUGUUUACAUGGGCUUUAGUCAGCUUCUGCAUCUUUGCUCAUGAGUCCCAUGACAACCUUGUUGACGUGCCCUUUUAUAGCUGUUGCCAUGAGGCUGAUGGACAUUUCUAGCUGAAGGAGUCUGCUACUCAGCACAAUCUGGGUCUUGUUAAUAUCCCUCAUCAUUCUAGUCCUUGGAAGUGUUGUGAAUAUGUGCACUGUUCUGCAAGCGGGAAUUUCUGCUUCUUUGUCAUGGGAAUUAUGUCAGACAUACUCUUUUCAAUGAUCUCCACCACCUGGGUUUGAGGCCCCUGCAUACCUAUUUGUGCCCUUACAUUUUUGGUGAGUAACUUCAUUUGUACCUGGACACUACUAGUGUUGCUCACAUCCAUUUCCCCCUUGUUGGUGUCUCUAUGAAAUUCUUUGAAAUGAGUUAAUUGUACAGAAUGUUUAAAUUUAUUGAAUGAUGACUAUAUGUAGAAAUUAGCUUCUUUUGAAGGACUUGA